rnacentral:rRNA from 1 species
AUGGCGCUGGUGGACCUAACCCAACAUGUUGAACUGCGACCGGGCAUUGAGGAUGCCAUUGCCUGGACUUGGGAGAGCUCAGGAACAUUUUCUGCGCGAUCGGCAUAUCGCGCCCACUUUGCGGGCCGAAUAGAGAGCGCGGGAGCAGUGCAGGUAUGGAGAUGCAGGGCCCCCCCUGCUUGCAAGUUUUUCACGUGGCUCGCGACACGGAACCGAUGUUGGACAGCAGAUAGACUUCAGCGACGGCAGUUGCCGCACCCAUCGGCAUGCCCAUUCUGUGAUCAGCUGCCUGAGACCUUGGACCAUUUGCUUCUCGGAUGUGUUCUAGCAAGGCAGGUAUGGACCAAGGUCAUGAACACAUGGAGUAGGCCGGACUGGACGCCGUCCGCAGAUUCAAAGCUUGUCGAAUGGUGGACUACUCUCAACCCCCAAAAUCAAUUCAGGAAGGAGGCGUGGACGGUGAUAACCCUGGUGUUAUGGAUGCUAUGGAAGCACCGAAACGACAUUGUUUUCAAUGGCGCGUCACCAUCUGUGGACGACCUUCUUGUUAAGAUCGAGUUAGAGUCUCAGGAUUGGAGAGCGGCUGGCCUGCUGCGUGAACGUGGCUCAGUCAUUUGUAUGGUAGAUAGGAGGGACGAGAGCGAGUAA